AUUGAACGCUGGCGGCAAGCCUAACACCUGCAAGUCGAACGAGUGGCGGACGGGUGAGUAAUGUGUGGGAAACUGCCUGAUGGAGGGGGAUAACUACUGGAAACGGUAGCUAAUACCGCCUACUAUCGGAUGUGCCCAGAUGGGAUUAGCUAGUAGGUGGGGUAAAGGCUCACCUAGGCGACGAUCCCUAGCUGGUCUGAGAGGAAGACCUGCGACGCUGGAACUGUGAAAAGGACCAGACGCCUUCGAGAGGGGGUAGUGGGGAAGGUUGAUCUACGGCCGAAGACCAGCAGAAGCGAUGCCGCGUGGAGUAAGCGGGAAAUCGGGUUGCUAAGUACUUUCAGCUUUGAGGCGUUACCCGCAGAUGAUGAACCGGCUAACGCCGAGCUAGCAGCCGCGGUAAUAC
rnacentral:rRNA from 1 species